CCUACGGGAGGCAGCAGUGAGGAAUAUUGGUCAAUGGGCGCAAGCCUGAACCAGCCAAGUCGCGUGAGGGAUGACGGUCCUAUGGAUUGUAAACCUCUUUUGUCGGGGAGCAAGGCCCGCCACGUGUGGCGGGAAGGAGAGUACCCGAAGAAAAAGCAUCGGCUAACUCCGUGCCAGCAGCCGCGGUAAUACGGAGGAUGCGAGCGUUAUCCGGAUCUAUUGGGUUUAAAGGGUGCGUAGGCGGAAGGUUAAGUCAGCGGUAAAAUGUCGGUGCUCAACACCGGCCUGCCGUUGAAACUGGUCUUCUUGAGUGAGCGAGAAGUAUGCGGAAUGCGUGGUGUAGCGGUGAAAUGCAUAGAUAUCACGCAGAACUCCGAUUGCGAAGGCAGCAUACCGGCGCUCAACUGACGCUGAGGCACGAAAGCGUGGGGAUCGAACAGGAUUAGAUACCCCAGUAGUC
rnacentral:rRNA from 1 species